rnacentral:rRNA from 1 species
ACUUUCAGCAACGGAUCUCUUGGUUCUCGCAUCGAUGAAGAACGCAGCGAAACGCGAUAUGUAAUGUGAAUUGCAGUGGAUCAUCGAAUUUUCGAACGCACAUUGCGCCUUCCUUCGGAAGGCAUACCUGUUUGAGUGUUAUA